CUGGAAUGUUACUGCAUUUUCAGUCUGCAGUCCAGCACACCAAAACACUUUGCUUUCCUUAAGAAUACAGGCACUGUAGAAAGGUCUAAGUUAUUCUUCACAUAACUAGAAACAAAAAGCAAGAGACCUGAGAGCUGGGCAGGGAACAGACCAAGAGAUAAUUCUAAUAUAAGAAAGGUGAGGCGUUAAAGGAGACUUACAGGAGGAAAGAGGUCUCUGACAUAAACUUCACUUACCUGGAUGGAAGUAGCAACAAAAAAAAAGACAGGUUUUCUUUAAAACAGACUACAGGUUCAGCAGAAUGUGAUAGGUUUGGAUACCAUGAAUAAGACACUAAUUCCUACUUAGGGUUCACAUAUUCCUUAUGUGAUAGGGAGCAAACACUUCAGGCUGCAGAUACAUGAAAGAUAUCAACUUUAUAACAUGUAGCAAGACUUUCUUCUGCAGGUCUCCAUGUACUUUGCAGAGGAGGGAUAGACCAACGUUUUUCAUCCCUGGGCACCAUGUCAUGGUAGCAUAUCAGUAAUUUGCAAAAAGUGCAAUGGCAGGAGCUGCACGGUGCAUGGUGGAGCCCAGAGUAGGAUUCCAUCCUCCUCCUGCCUGCACAGAUCUACCUUUCUACAGGCUGUAUCUGUGUGUCCCAGUAAUUCGGUGCACCAGCAGUGAAGCAAACAGUAGAUGAAAGAACCUGCUGAUGAGGCCUUUACAUCUUUACACUGAGCCCUGCCUGUCAGGUUUCUGUGGGACUGGGUUUAGCCUGGCCUUCUGAACUGAGUGCUGCCAUCAAAUGGGCUUGGAAGCUGCUCAGAGCUUCAGUCACUGACUGACUCUUCUGUGCCAUCAAAGCCUGGGUGUGCAGUCACUGAGUGCUCCAGAGGUCACUGCCUUCAUGCCCUGCAGGUUAAAACUACUUCUGGAUUCUGGCAAGAGAGCUUUUCCACAUUUUUACAUGCUGUUCCCAAGCCACUUAUUAGUGGGCCAUUGAUUUAUAGCCAGAAGGUAGCCUCCUCCCAAGUGAAAACCGUGAGAUAUUUGUUUGAAAACAUCAUGCUAAUUUAG
rnacentral:lncRNA from 1 species